rnacentral:rRNA from 1 species
GAUGAACGCUGGCGGCGUGCCUAAUACAUGCAAGUCGAGCGAACGUACGAGCAGCUUGCUUUUCUGAUGUUAGCGCCGGACGGGUUAGUAACACGUGGAUAACCUACCUAUACGACUGGGAUAACUUCGGGAAACCGGUGCUAAUACCGGCUAAUAUUUUGAACCGCAUGAUUAAAAAGUGCAAGACGGUCUUGCUGUCCCUUAUAGCUGGAUCCGCGCUGCAUUAGCUAGUUGGUAAGGUAACGGCUUACCAAGGCAACGAUGCAUAGCCGACCUGAGAGGGUGAUCGGCCACACUGGAACUGAGACACGGUCCAGACUCCUACGGGAGGCAGCAGUAGGGAAUCUUCCGCAAUGGGCGAAAGCCUGACGGAGCAACGCCGCGUGAGUGAUGAAGGUCUUCGGAUCGUAAAACUCCGUUAUUAGGGAAGAACAUAUGUGUAAGUAACUGUGCACAUCUUGACGGUACCUAAUCAGAAAGCCACGGCUAACUACGUG